ACCAAUAAUUUUUCAAUAGUCGUCUCUUGAAAGUCAUAAGCCAUCUCCCAUGAACUCAAUUGAGAGCAAUUGAUCAAGAGCCAUCUCAAGCUAUCCACUAGUUCUCUUUAUCCUCUAUUUGAUACAAAGGAUGGAUUGAAGGAAUGAUAGUAAGAAAAAAGAAGAGGAUGGACAUUGGGUCUUUCAUGCAUCCUCCCAUAUCUUUGGUGAAGCAUAGAAGGACAGAAGAGAAUGAUGCCCUUCUCUAUUUAUUUUAAGGAAUGAAAGAG
rnacentral:lncRNA from 1 species